GAUCAUGGCUCAGAACGAACGCUGGCGGCAGGCCUAACACAUGCAAGUCGAGCGCGCCCUUCGGGGUGAGCGGCGGACGGGUUAGUAACGCGUGGGAACGUACCCUUUGGUAGGGAAUAGCCACUGGAAACGGUGAGUAAUACCCUAUGAGCCCUUCGGGGGAAAGAUUUAUCGCCAAAGGAUCGGCCCGCGUUAGACUAGGUAGUUGGUGGGGUAAUGGCCUACCAAGCCUACGAUCUAUAGCUGGUUUUAGAGGAUGAUCAGCAACACUGGGACUGAGACACGGCCCAGACUCCUACGGGAGGCAGCAGUGGGGAAUCUUGGACAAUGGGGGCAACCCUGAAUCCAGCCAUGCCGCGUGAGUGAAGAAGGCCUUAGGGUCGUAAAGCUCUUUCGCCUGUGAAGAUAAUGACGGUAGCAGGUAAAGAAACCCCGGCUAACUCCGUGCCAGCAGCCGC
rnacentral:rRNA from 1 species